rnacentral:misc_RNA from 1 species
GAUGAAGACGCAGUGAAAUGCGAUAAGUAAUGUGAAUUGCAGAAUUCAGUGAAUCAUCGAAUCUUUGAACGCACAUUGCGCCCAUUAGUAUUCUAGUGGGCAUGCCUGUUCGAGCGUCAUUAAGUCCACUUAAGCCCUGCUUAGUGUUGGGAGACUGCUCCAGCGGUGCUACCCUGUAGCUACCCUGCAGCUCCUCAAAGACAGCGGCGGAGUUGUGGUAUCCUCUGAGCUUAGUAACUUGUUCUAGCUUUCGAGUACACCACUUCCCCUGCCGUAAAACCCUUAAUUUUUAAUGGUUGACCUCGGAUCAGGUAGGAAUACCCGCUGAACUUAAGCAUAUCAAUAAGCGGAGGA